rnacentral:rRNA from 1 species
UACGUAGGGUGCAAGCGUUAAUCGGAAUUACUGGGCGUAAAGCGUGCGCAGGCGGUUGUGCAAGACAGAUGUGAAAUCCCCGGGCUUAACCUGGGAAUUGCAUUUGUGACUGCACGGCUAGAGUGUGUCAGAGGGGGGUAGAAUUCCACGUGUAGCAGUGAAAUGCGUAGAUAUGUGGAGGAAUACCGAUGGCGAAGGCGGCGACCUGGGUAGAUACUGACGCUGAGGCGCGAAAGCGUGGGGAGCAAACAGG